rnacentral:rRNA from 1 species
UGCGUAGGCGGAACUUUAAGUCAGUGGUGAAAUCCUGCGGCUCAACCGUAGAACUGCCAUUGAUACUGAAGUUCUUGAAUGCAGUUGAGGUAGGCGGAAUGUGUAAUGUAGCGGUGAAAUGCUUAGAUAUUACACAGAACACCGAUUGCGAAGGCAGCUUGCUAAACUGUGAUUGACGCUGAUGCACGAAAGCAUGGGGAGCGAACAGGAUUAGAUACCCUGGUAGUCC